rnacentral:rRNA from 1 species
AUUAAACUGAAGAGUUUGAUCCUGGCUCAGAUUGAACGCUGGCGGCAUGCCUUACACAUGCAAGUCGAACGGCAGCGCGGGGGCAACCCUGGCGGCGAGUGGCGAACGGGUGAGUAAUGUAUCGGAACGUGCCUUGGAGUGGGGGAUAACUAGUCGAAAGAUUAGCUAAUACCGCAUACGACCUACGGGUGAAAGUGGGGGAUCGCAAGACCUCAUGCUCUUUGAGCGGCCGAUAUCUGAUUAGCUAGUUGGUGGGGUAAAGGCCUACCAAGGCGACGAUCAGUAGCUGGUCUGAGAGGACGACCAGCCACACUGGGACUGAGACACGGCCCAGACUCCUACGGGAGGCAGCAGUGGGGAAUUUUGGACAAUGGGGGCAACCCUGAUCCAGCAAUGCCGCGUGUGUGAAGAAGGCCUUCGGG